ensembl:lncRNA
CCAGAAUUUAGUCAUAUACCAAUACCUGGAAAAUGUAAUAUCUAUGGGUGGUGCUAGUGGCAAAGAACCUCCCUGCCAACAAAGGUAGAGGUAGGGAUGCAAGUUCAAUCCCUGGGGUGGGAAGAUCCCCUGGAGAAGGAAAUGACAACCCACUUCGGUAUUUUUGCCUGGAGAACACCAUGGACAGAGGAGUCUGGCGGGCUACAGUCCACAGCGUCGCAAACAUCAGACAAGACUGAAGGAACCUAGCAUGCAUUCCAAGCAAAGAGGUAUCAAACAAAAAAUUCUGAUCUACUUCUGCAAAGGAAGGUGGGGGAAGAGUGUUCCCAUCCAGGUAGCAUCUAUCUCAAAGCCUUUGGACCGAUCUUCUGAGACGCAGCUGAAACCCCCUAAGAGUCAGAAGUUCUUCCGGCAUGUUUGCCUCCCUCUCACGGAACUUCUUUGAUGUGUGUCUCAGUUCACUGGGAGCCAGUAGGCACGAGGGAGAGGCACAUAAGCCUUCGGCCCCUGUGGCUGCUUAGAGCUUGUUGUGGUCUGCACACCCAUCUCUGCCAGGCCCGAGCUUCUGUAAUGGACUAAUCUGAUCCUAGGAUACCCCUGCUGCAGUCAAUAGCAGCCCUCGCCCUGGGAUUGCUCCAUAAUCCCGAAACUCCAGCUCCCAGCUGUUGUGCCUUCUGGUGACCUGUGUUCCUGUCUGGGCUCUGGAAUACCUGGCUGAGAGACCUGGAUUAGACUUUUGAGAAGGAUGCUAAAGAGAAAGUGAUGGCCUUGCUCAGUGUGCACCAGCCUGCCUGGCAGCAGCAGUUCACCACAUUUUAAAUGAUGGAGGUUUGGCGAGGGAGAUGAGCAGGAUGGGAGACCCAUUAGAAGAAUGAUACAGCAUUCAGAGGAAGGUUAAAAAUGAAGCAUGUGUUAUAAAUAAUAAAACAUGUC